AGUGAACGCUGGCGGUAGGCCUAACACAUGCAAGUCGAACGGCCGCACAGUAAGAGCUUGCUCUUACGGGUGGCGAGUGGCGGACGGGUGAGGAAUACAUCGGCAUCUACUUUUUCGUGGGGGAUAACGUAGGGAAACUUACGCUAAUACCGCAUACGACCUACGGGUGAAAGCAGGGGAUAUUCGGACCUUGCGCGAUUGAAUUAGCCGAUGUCGGAUUAGCUAGUUGGCGGGGUAAAGGCCCACCAAGGCGACGAUCCGUAGCUGGUCUGAGAGGAUGAUCAGCCACACUGGAACUGAGACACGGUCCAGACUCCUACGGGAGGCAGCAGUGGGGAAUAUUGGACAAUGGGCGCAAGCCUGAUCCAGCCAUACCACGUGGGUGAAGAAGGCCUUCGGGUUGUAAAGCCCUUUUGUUGGGAAAGAAAAGCAGCAGGUUAAUACCCCGCUGUUCUGACGGUACCCAAAGAAUAAGCACCGGCUAACUUCGUG
rnacentral:rRNA from 1 species